rnacentral:tRNA from 1 species
AGGGACUUAGGCUAACAACAGACCAAAGGCCUUCAAAGCCUUCAGUGAGAGUGAAAAUCCCUCAGCCCCUG